GAUGAACGCUGGCGGCGUGCCUAAUACAUGCAAGUCGAGCGAACGGACGAGAAGCUUGCUUCUCUGAUGUUAGCGGCGGACGGGUGAGUAACACGUGGAUAACCUACCUAUAAGACUGGGAUAACUUCGGGAAACCGGAACUAAUACCGAAUGAUAUUUUGAACCGCAUGGUUCAAAAGUGAAAGACGGUCUUGCUGUCACUUAUAGAUGGAUCCGCGCUGCAUUAGCUAGUUGGUAAGGUAACGGCUUACCAAGGCAACGAUGCAUAGCCGACCUGAGAGGGUGAUCGGCCACACUGGAACUGAGACACGGUCCAGACUCCUACGGGAGGCAGCAGUAGGGAAUCUUCCGCAAUGGGCGAAAGCCUGACGGAGCAACGCCGCGUGAGUGAUGAAGGUCUUCGGAUCGUAAAACUCUGUUAUUAGGGAAGAACAUAUGUGUAAGUAACUGUGCACAUCUUGACGGUACCUAAUCAGAAAGCCACGGCUAACUACGUG
rnacentral:rRNA from 1 species